CCCGGUCCGAGAUCAUCUUAGGACAGUAGAGAUCUUCUAGUAUGUACAUUAUAUUGGCUAAGACUUUGCAAAAUUUAAGAUAAAUUGUGAUGUUAACAGCUAAAACAUGUUAGAAUAUCAUUAAACAAGUUAAUAAAAGAGAUUAUUUAUAUGGGUGAAGCUCAUUCAUAUGUAAAAAUCUAUAAAUAUAAUAUAAAUAACAUUAUU
rnacentral:lncRNA from 1 species